UAGUUUCCUCCAAACACGGCA
ensembl:piRNA 21ur-3269 ncRNA